AUGAUGGAAAUCAAUAUUGCAAGGUGUCAUCAUUUAGAAGCACAAGGGAUAUUCUUCUCCAACAUUUUGAGAACAAAAGGAAGGGAAAAUACUCAUAAACUUCUGUGCAAUGUAGUGUCCCUGAAUUCAAGAUGGGACUUUCACAUAUUAGCCUCUUCCUGCCAAACGUUUACCGCAGUGUAUCCAAGAAGGCCAUUUUUCUGUAGAACUCAUUCUAUGGCGACUCGUUUAGAGGAAUCUGAAUCAUUACAAGGAAAUAAUCCUAACGAGGAUAUGGAUCCAUCUACAGACUCAGAAGACGAGAAUGUGUCACAAUCACUUACCAGUGAACAGAUAAAGGUAUUGCUUGCUGAUACUCAAAGAGCAAACCUCACUAAGAAGCUUAGUGAAGCCAACCAACAAAAUCGGUUCCUAAAAAGACAGUUGUAUAUAAAGGAGGAUGCAUUGGUAAAAUUUAAAAGUGAACUUGCUGUCAUAGAGCUUGAAGUUCAG